AUUGAACGCUGGCGGCAUGCCUUACACAUGCAAGUCGAACGGUAACGCGGGGCAACCUGGCGACGAGUGGCGAACGGGUGAGUAAUGUAUCGGAACGUGCCCAGUUGUGGGGGAUAACUGCUCGAAAGAGCAGCUAAUACCGCAUACGACCUGAGGGUGAAAGCGGGGGAUCGCAAGACCUCGCGCAAUUGGAGCGGCCGAUAUCAGAUUAGGUAGUUGGUGGGGUAAAGGCUCACCAAGCCAACGAUCUGUAGCGGGUCCGAGAGGACGACCAGCCACACUGGGACUGAGACACGGCACAGACUCCUACGGGAGGCAGCAGUGGGGAAUUUUGGACAAUGGGCGCAAGCCUGAUCCAGCCAUGCCGCAUGCGGGAAGAAGGCCUUCGGGUUGUAAACCGCUUUUGUCAGGGAAGAAAAGACUCCUGUUAAUACCGGGGGUUCAUGACGGUACCUGAAGAAUAAGCACCGGCUAACUACGUGCCAGCCGCCGCAGUAAGAC
rnacentral:rRNA from 1 species